rnacentral:rRNA from 1 species
AUGCGGUCCUUCGACGGGCCGCUGGAGGCUGACCUCCAUAGCACGCAGGAAUUGGAGCAGCUUGAACUUCUGGCCCUUGCGGCAGCGCCCCGGGGCGGCGCUGCUGAAGUAGGCCCGCCCGGGCUUGGUGAGGUUGAAGACGGAGUUGCCAUCCUCCAGCUUGAGCAGCGGGUCGGACACGUCGCAGGCGGCGAAGGCCUAGGCGGUGAGCUGCACGGCGCUGUCCUGGCUGGGUGGGUAGAGGAAGAAGAGGGCGUCGCCGAGCUUGACGGGGACGGACUUGGCCCACCGCACAUACACGUCCGGCUUGCUGGACGGCGGCACCCCCCACGCGUCCAGCCCGCCCACCUUGUACUAAGCAGCGGCGCACCCGUCCAUGGAGGUCAUGGAGAUGCACAGAAGCAGCGCCAGAGCCGCUAG